rnacentral:rRNA from 1 species
AUCUAAGGAUGAAAGUGGGGGAUUCGCAAGAACCUCAUGCUCCUGGAGCGGCCGAUAUCUGAUUAGCUAGUUGGUAGGGUAAAAGCCUACCAAGGCAUCGAUCAGUAGCUGGUCUGAGAGGACGACCAGCCACACUGGAACUGAGACACGGUCCAGACUCCUACGGGAGGCAGCAGUGGGGAAUUUUGGACAAUGGGCGAAAGCCUGAUCCAGCAAUGCCGCGUGAGUGAAGAAGGCCUUCGGGUUGUAAAGCUCUUUUGUCAGGGAAGAAACGGUUGUCUCUAAUACAGAUGGCUAAUGACGGUACCUGAAGAAUAAGCACCGGCUAACUACGUGCCAGCAGCCGCGGUAAUACGUAGGGUGCAAGCGUUAAUCGGAAUUACUGGGCGUAAAGCGUGCGCAGGCGGUUUUGUAAGUCUGUCGUGAAAUCCCCGGGCUCAACCUGGGAAUUGCGAUGGAGACUGCAAGGCUAGAAUCUGGCAGAGGGGGGUAGAAUUCCACGUGUAGCAGUGAAAUGCGUAGAGAUGUGGAGGAACACCGAUGGCGAAGGCAGCCCCCUGGGUCAAGAUUGACGCUCAUGCACGAAAGCGUGGGGAGCAAACAGGAUUAGAUACCCUGGUAGUCCACGCCCUAAACGAUGUCUACUAGUUGUCGGGUUUUAAUUAACUUGGUAACGCAGCUAACGCGUGAAGUAGACCGCCUGGGGAGUACGGUCGCAAGAUUAAAACUCAAAGG